UACGAAGGGGGCUAGCGUUGCCCGGAAUCACUGGGCGUAAAGCGCGUGUAGGCGGCUUGGCAAGUCGGGUGUGAAAGCCCUGGGCUCAACCUAGGAAGUGCACUCGAAACUGCCUCGCUUGAAUGCCGGAGAGGAAAGCGGAAUUCUCGGUGUAGAGGUGAAAUUCGUAGAUAUCGAGAGGAACACCAGUGGCGAAGGCGACUACCUGGCCUGUUUCUUGACGCUGAGGCGCGAAAGCUAGGGGAGCAAACGGG
rnacentral:rRNA from 1 species